rnacentral:rRNA from 1 species
AGAUUGAACGCUGGCGGCAUGCCUUACACAUGCAAGUCGAACGGUAACAGGUUAAGCUGACGAGUGGCGAACGGGUGAGUAAUAUAUCGGAACGUGCCCAGUAGUGGGGGGAUAGCCCGGCGAAAGCCGGAUUAAUACCGCAUACGACCUACGGGUGAAAGCGGGGGAUCGCAAGACCUCGCGCUAUUGGAGCGGCCGAUAUCAGAUUAGCUUGUUGGUGGGGUAAAAGCCCACCAAGGCGACGAUCUGUAGCUGGUCUGAGAGGACGACCAGCCACACUGGGACUGAGACACGGCCCAGACUCCUACGGGAGGCAGCAGUGGGGAAUUUUUGGACAAUGGACGAAAGUCUGAUCCAGCCAUGCCGCGUGCGGGAAGAAGGCCUUCGGGUUGUAAACCGUCUUUGUCAGGGAAGAAAGUCUCGGGUUAAUACCUUGGGAUGAUGACGGUACCUGAAGAAUAAGCACCGGCUAACUACGCGCCAGCAGCCGCGGU